CAAAACUGAACACCAUACAAACGUCAGCGUUUAAAUGCACCUAAUAAUUUACUUUCCGGGUAAAAUACAAAAAUCACAAGCAGUAUCUUGCACCAGCUUUCUAUUCGUUUGAAGAAAAUAUCGAUCAAAGUCCUCAUACUCAAAUUUUCAAUUCACAGACAAAUCCAAAUGGCAGGGAGAAAUCGCAUUCCUCGUGAAGCUUAUAAUGACCGACGAGGGUUUCCGCCAGAGAGAUCUUUCAUUCGUGGCCCUCCUUUGCCACAUCCGCCACCACCACCACCUCACCAUGCUUUGUUGGAGGAUGAACUUGAGAUGCGGCAUGUUGAAAUCCGCAGGCUCCUGGCUGAUAAUCGUCGGUUGGCGGAGGAUAGAAUGGCUCUGCAGCAAGAGCUUGGUGCUGCAAAGGAGGAUAUUCAUCGCCUGAAUCUUAUCAUGGGCGAAAUUCGUACAGAACAAGAAAUGCACUCAAGAGAGCUUAUUGAGAAAGGUUUAAAACUGGAGGCUGAUCUCCGUGCUACUGAGCCUUUGAAGAAUGAGGCUGUACAACUUCGUGCAGAAGUUCAGAAACUGAAUAGUACGAAGCAAGAAUUCCUUGGGCAAAUUCAGACCAUGAAAAAAGAAAUUUCAAGAUUGCAAGCUGAUAAUCAACAGAUCCCACUUUUGCGUGGUGAGAUAGAUGGCCUGCACCAGGAGCUUAUGCAUGCUAGGACGGCUAUUGAUUAUGAAAAGAAGGCAAACAUUGAGUUGGUGGAGCAGAGACAGGCUAUGGAGAAGACCAUGGUUUCCAUGGCCCGUGAAGUUGAAAAGCUGCGGGCAGAACUUGCCAGUGCUGAUUCUCGACCCUGGGUUGCUGGUGGACCAUAUGGGAUGAAGUUCAAUAAUCCAGAUGGUUUUCAUGCACCUUAUGGAGAUGGAUAUGGGGGUCAUUUGGGUGCUCCUGGGCCUGCUUCAUGGGACAAGGCUCGCAUGCCUCGUCGUUGAGAUGGUAGCUGUUCAAAUUCAGAAAGUGCAAAGCUGAUGUUAUGGCCGCCUGCUAUCCUGUUUGAUAUCUCAAUAGAUGAGAAGUGUUUUUCAUCUUUGUGUGCAUUCCACACCAGUAGUCUUUUAUCAGAAUACAUUAUCAAAAACUGGCUGUGAAUGGCUGGGGAAAGUUGGGUACUAUUUUGUACUAUUGCCUUUUGGUACUGACCUUCCCACCCCAUAGAGGUAGCUUUUGGUCAUCCCACUUGGACAGCUGAAGGAGGUGCAUGGGAGUAAAAACACCACAAAAGGUUCAGGUUUAAGUCUUUGGUUGUGCUCUCAAAAUACAUGCAUGAGGCUUUCUGCUUUUGAUAUGUAUGCUCUCAAAGUACACGCAUGAGGCUUUCUGCUUUCAAUAUGUGUCUUACUAUUACAAAAAAGGGAACACAGCAUAUCUAUCUUACUUUUUAAAAGGAACAACAAUAACAGCAACAACAUUCUCAUUUCAUUUGGUAUUUAUUCCCUUAAUUGGAGGCGUUUUAUUCAAAUGUCAAAUGCGCCUGUUUCAGUUGCCACCAUAUUUAAUGGUCCGAAACGGCAGCAUUUAUAGGAAUUUUCUUUUUACAUGUAGCAAGAGUGUUCUUUUGUUGUUAAAUUGUUACUUUUCAAAACCGUGAAACAGUAAUUUAUUAUAAACAAAUUAACCAAUGCUACAUUAGGAGGAGGAUAUUAGCUGCUUUCUGAUGUCCGUAAUGAUCUUUAUUAAUUGUUUGCUUGUAACUUUUGAGUAGUUUUUGGUUAAGUUCAUUUUCACAUGUCUUAUACAUGGACUAAUAUGAUCUCAUUGCUCCUUGAUAACUUGGGAGUGAUUGGGAGUUGCUGCCCGGUUAAGGGCCAAAUGAAAAUUUUUCCACAUCUUUGUAAUUUUUUAAUUUAAGAUUAUGGUGUGCUGCUGAACUUUGAUCAGGUUCUGAUGGUAUAAUUUUUUUCCCGUGUCCAAUUUUAUUGUUCUAAGUUGAUUGAGCUUAUGUGUAUGUAAUGUGAACUUCCCGCGGCCAAAUGAAUAUUUAUUUGGACACCUGAAUUUGAUGGUUUGGUCACUUUAGCACCUUAAAUUUUUUGAUAUAACAUGAUAGACAUUUUAUUAUUUGAUAUUUAAACACUUUUUAAUAUGUAGAUUCAUUCAACAUGUCCAUGUGUAUUGCAUUCAAGUGUUUAAAUGUUAUCAAAAAAAUAAAGUUCAUAUAUCUAUUAGGUCAAAUUGAAUAUUAAAGGUGUACAUAAAUAGAAUUCAUGUGUUUGUUAGGUUAAAUUGAAAGUUAAAAUAACUAAAUUAUUAAAUUUCAGGUGACAACUUCAUGCAGUAUUUCUUCAAUUUUGAGCCGUCUGAAAGGCCAUUGCUUUCUGUUUCUCUUUUGGUGAUUUCUUUUGGCAGAAGUUGAUGACUGCACUCAGAGACGUCUUUGUGAUUGCAAAACAGUGCCAUUGCUAUGCAGACUCAAAGAAGCUUCAAGUAAUCUUUAUUGCAGUGCAGUAUAGCUGAAUCCCACUAUAAAAUGCCCUAUCAAAUAAAUCAAUUCUGCCGCCUGCCAAAGCCUUGGGUGUCAGCCAGCCUGAUGAAACAAAUGCUCCCUCAUAUUAUGGCUCUACAUGAUCAAUUAUGAUAUGUUACUUUUUCAACUGAUAUUAUGGGUGUCCCAGCCAUGCUCAAACGCAUCAUAUAUGGGGUUUGACAAUUCUUCUUUUCUUCAUGACCUCGCAUUAAAGAUUACAAGACCCAUGUGAGGAGUGAUCUUUAGGGUUAGGGUUAUUAUUAGCUCUCCUGGAAACACUGCUAGUGGUGAUAGAUACUAUAAAUCAAUUUACAUGAAGAUAUAUAAAGAGAUGGAGGGGCCCUGUUGCUGUCGAGUGUUGCCAGCUGAAACCUUUUUUUUUGUUCCGUAAGAAAAUAUUCUGGCAAAACUUUCAGUCAUCAACUUCGGUGUUGAAAAUAAAACUAGGCAAUGCUGGGGUGAUGUCCCUGUAAUAUUUACAGAUAGUGGCUACAGAGAAUUUUAUGACUGCUACUAUGCCAUCCUUGAGUCAUUUAUAAAAUUCUUAAUCAAAGCUAUGAUUCAAAAAUUUAAGUGUUUCAUGGCAGGGGAGGUUCUUGGAGAGUACAGUACAGAGACAUUUUUAUAUACGAACUACUCCAAUAUCAAAUGUUUUAGUUCAAGACAUUAUGUAAUCUUUGCAACAAAAUCAAUUUACUCUGAAAGAGUUUAAUGGGAAAAUUUUCAAUUUGA